rnacentral:rRNA from 1 species
AGAGUUUGAUCCUGGCUCAGAACGAACGCUGGCGGCAGGCCUAACACAUGCAAGUCGAGCGCUACCUUCGGGUGGAGCGGCGGACGGGUUAGUAACGCGUGGGAAUAUACCCAGUUCUAAGGAAUAGCCACUGGAAACGGUGAGUAAUACCUUAUACGCCCUUCGGGGGAAAGAUUUAUCGGAAUUGGAUUAGCCCGCGUUAGAUUAGAUAGUUGGUGGGGUAAUGGCCUACCAAGUCUACGAUCUAUAGCUGGUUUGAGAGGAUGAUCAGCAACACUGGGACUGAGACACGGCCCAGACUCCUACGGGAGGCAGCAGUGGGGAAUCUUAGACAAUGGGCGAAAGCCUGAUCUAGCCAUGCCGCGUGAGUGAUGAAGGCCCUAGGGUCGGAAAGCUCUUUCAACUGUGAAGAUAAUGACGGUAGCAGUAGAAGAAACCCCGGCUAACUCCGUGCCAGCAGCCGCGGUAAUACGGAGGGGGUUAGCGUUGUUCGGAAUUACUGGGCGUAAAGCGUACGUAGGCGGAUUAAUAAGUUAGAGGUGAAAUCCCAGGGCUCAACCCUGGAACUGCCUUUAAAACUGUUAGUCUUGAGAUCGAGAGAGGUGAGUGGAAUUCCAAGUGUAGAGGUGAAAUUCGUAGAUAUUUGGAGGAACACCAGUGGCGAAGGCGGCUCACUGGCUCGAUACUGACGCUGAGGUACGAAAGUGUGGGGAGCAAACAGGAUUAGAUACCCUGGUAGUCCACACCGUAAACGAUGAAUGCCAGACGUCAGCAAGCAUGCUUGUUGGUGUCACACCUAACGGAUUAAGCAUUCCGCCUGGGGAGUACGGUCGCAAGAUUAAAACUCAAAGGAAUUGACGGGGGCCCGCACAAGCGGUGGAGCAUGUGGUUUAAUUCGACGCAACGCGCAGAACCUUACCAACCCUUGACAUACUUGUCGCGGAUUCCAGAGAUGGAUUCCUUCAGUUCGGAUGGACAAUGUACAGGUGCUGCAUGGCUGUCGUCAGCUCGUGUCGUGAGAUGUUCGGUUAAGUCCGGCAACGAGCGCAACCCACGUCCUUAGUUACCAGCAUUUAGUUGGGUACCCUAAGGAGACUGCCGGUGAUAAGCCGGAGGAAGGUGUGGACGACGUCAAGUCAUCAUGGCCCUUACGGGUUGGGCUACACACGUGCUACAAUGGCAUCUACAGUGAGUUAAUCUCCAAAAGAUGUCUCAGUUCGGAUUGGGGUCUGCAACUCGACCCCAUGAAGUUGGAAUCGCUAGUAAUCGCGGAACAGCAUGCCGCGGUGAAUACGUUCCCGGGCCUUGUACACACCGCCCGUCACACCAUGGGAAUUGGGUCUACCCGAAGGUGGUGCGCCAACUAUUUAUAGAGGCAGCCAACCACGGUAGGUUCAGUGACUGGGGUGAAGUCGUAACAAGGUA